rnacentral:rRNA from 1 species
CCUACGGGAGGCAGCAGUGAGGAAUAUUGGUCAAUGGGCGCGAGCCUGAACCAGCCAAGUAGCGUGAAGGAAGACUGCCCUACGGGUUGUAAACUUCUUUUGUAAAGGAAUAAAGUGUGACACGUGUACCUUUUUGGAUUUACUUUAUGAAUAAGGAUCGGCUAACUCCGUUCCAGCAGCCGCGGUAAUACGGAGGAUCCGAGCGUUAUCCGGAUUUAUUGGGUUUAAAGGGAGCGUAGGUGGGUUGUUAAGUCAGUUGUGAAAGUUUGCGGCUCAACCGGAAAACUGCAAUUGAGACUGGCAGUCUUGAGUCUAGUAGAGGGAGGCGGAAUUCGUGGUGUAGCGGUGAAAUGCGUAGAGAUCACGAAGAACACCGAUGGCGAAGGCAGCUUACUAAAC